rnacentral:rRNA from 1 species
AUUGAACGCUGGCGGCAGGCUUAACACAUGCAAGUCGAGCGGGGGAAGGUAGCUUGCUACCGGACCUAGCGGCGGACGGGUGAGUAAUGCUUAGGAAUCUGCCUAUUAGUGGGGGACAACAUCUCGAAAGGGAUGCUAAUACCGCAUACGUCCUACGGGAGAAAGCAGGGGGUCUUCGGACCUUGCGCUAAUAGAUGAGCCUAAGUCGGAUUAGCUAGUUGGUGGGGUAAAGGCCUACCAAGGCGACGAUCUGUAGCGGGUCUGAGAGGAUGAUCCGCCACACUGGGACUGAGACACGGCCCAGACUCCUACGGGAGGCAGCAGUGGGGAAUAUUGGACAAUGGGGGGAACCCUGAUCCAGCCAUGCCGCGUGUGUGAAGAAGGCCUUAUGGUUGUAAAGCACUUUAAACGAGGAGGAGGCUACUUUAGUUAAUACCUAGAGAUAGUGGACGUUACUCGCAGAAUAAGCACCGGCUAACUCUGUGCCAGCAGCCGCGGUAAUACAGAGGGUGCGAGCGUUAAUCGGAUUUACUGGGCGUAAAGCGUGCGUAGGCGGCUUAUUAAGUCGGAUGUGAAAUCCCCGAGCUUAACUUGGGAAUUGCAUUCGAUACUGGUGAGCUAGAGUAUGGGAGAGGAUGGUAGAAUUCCAGGUGUAGCGGUGAAAUGCGUAGAGAUCUGGAGGAAUACCGAUGGCGAAGCAGCCAUCUGGCCUAAUACUGACGCUGAGUACGAAAGCAUGGGGAGC